rnacentral:rRNA from 1 species
UACGAAGGGAGCUAGCGUUGCUCGGAAUCACUGGGCGUAAAGGGCGCGUAGGCGGCCAUUCAAGUCGGAGGUGAAAGCCCAGGGCUCAACCCUGGAAUUGCCUUCGAUACUGUCUGGCUAGAGACCGGAAGAGGUAAGUGGAACUGCGAGUGUAGAGGUGAAAUUCGUAGAUAUUCGCAAGAACACCAGUGGCGAAGGCGGCUUACUGGUCCGGUUCUGACGCUGAGGCGCGAAAGCGUGGGGAGCAAACAGG